AUGUUGGGUUAAGUCCCGCAACGAGCGCAACCCUUGUUCCUAGUUGCCAGCAUUGAGUUGGGCACUCUAGGGAGACUGCCGGUGACAAACCGGAGGAAGGUGAGGAUGACGUCAAGUCAGCAUGCCCCUUACGCUCUGGGCUACACACGUGCUACAAUGGCGCGGACAAAGGGUUGCGAGCGCGCGAGCGUGAGCCAAUCCCAAAAACCGCGUCUCAGUUCAGAUCGCAGGCUGCAACUCGCCUGCGUGAAGGCGGAAUCGCUAGUAAUCGCAGAUCAGCAUGCUGCGGUGAAUACGUUCCCGGGCCUUGUACACACCGCCCGUCACACCAUGGGAGCUGGCCAUGCCCGAAGUCGGAGCACCCGCCGAAGGCAGGGCUGGUGACUGGGGUGAAGUCGUAACAAGGUAGCCGUACCGGAAGGUGCGGCUGGAUCACCUCCUUU
rnacentral:rRNA from 1 species